rnacentral:misc_RNA from 1 species
GAUGAAGAACGUAGCGAAAUGCGAUAAGUAGUGUGAAUUGCAGAAUUCAGUGAAUCAUCGAAUCUUUGAACGCACAUUGCGCCCCUUGGUAUCCCGAGGGGCAUGCCUGUUCGAGCGUCAUUUCACCACUCAAGCCUGGCUUGGUGUUGGGCGACGUCCCCUUUGGGGACGCGCCUCGAAACGCUCGGCGGCGUGGCACCGGCUUUAAGCGUAGCAGAAUCUUUCGCUUUGGAAGUCGGGGCCCCGCCUGCCGGAAUACCUACUCGUAAGGUUGACCUCGGAUCAGGCAGGGAUACCCGCUGAACUUAAGCAUAUCAAUAAGCGGAGGA